rnacentral:lncRNA from 1 species
UCACAAUAAAGUAAUUAAAUUAUUCACAUUAAAGAUCCAAUAACAGACCCAAAUAAACACAUGGAAAAGGUCAGAUGGCAAACGAAAAUUUAAACAAGAGAACACUAAGGAAUUCAAAUAGCAAAGGUAAGAAUAAACCUUAAUAUUCAGUAAAUAAAAUUCUUCAGCAGAUGAAAACACGAAGCUUCCGACAUCAACAAAAUAUAUGAAUUCCAUAGAUUACAACUCCAAUAAAUAGCUCCAACAAGAUCUGCGACAUGAACACUCGAAAGACGACCUCGACUCUCUUUGUGGUGAUUUAAGAUCUGAUUGGAGUUGGUUCUUGGACUGGUUUACAGCUGAGCUUAAGCUCUGUUUCGCCUGUUUCCAUGGAGUUUCAAGGCUAUUUUGUGGCUAAUUUAAGAUCUGAUUGGAGUUGGUUCUUGGUCUGAUUUACAGCUAAGCUGGAGCUUUGUUUCGCCUGUUUCCAUGGAGUUUCAAGGCUAUUUUAUGGCUUAUUUUGCUUGGUUUUAGGUUGGAAAAGAGAGCUGGUUUUGAAUGAUUUUGGUCGAAUUAGAGGGUUGUUUUUUGUUGCCUUUUGGGGCUGUUCCGGGAAUGGUUUUUGAGCUAUUUUUGUAGUAGCUUCAAGCUACAUCUUUGGGAGAAGACAAGGUAGUUUAUGGGGUGAAGUUUGGAGUGUUCAAUCGAGCUUUUUGUUUGUGCUUCAAUGAGCUCCCGUGGUGAAAAACAGGAAGAAGAAAAACUGUCAAGAUGGUGAAGUAAACCAAAAGCCGCGCAGCUUUCUUCAGGCCUCCAUUUUGUGUGUAUAGGCAUGUGUAUAUCUCUUGUGUAUCUAUCUGUAUAUGUAUGUUACGGUUUUUAGGUGGGGAAAUGGGUUUGGGUAUUGAGUUGGGUCGGGUCGAUCAGAUUUCAUGUUUACAAAAUUUUGUUGAAAAAUACAAAUAAUGUUUAUGAAACUUUUAUUACAUCAAUGAAUUUCAUUUAAAUACAGAAUUCUAAGAUUUGAACAAGUUGGCAGGUUCCCUAUUCCAUUGUUUCUCAAAACUCAGAACUUCAGCAACACCUUAAGCACUAAAUUCAGCAGUAUUAGACACAAAAAUUUUCAUCUCAAAAUGACCCCUUUAACAGUAGAAACAAAGCAUUGGAAUCACAGCAAUAUUAAGUCAGAAUAACCACAAAGUAAAGUUAAAUAGUGCAGGAUCUGCUUAAAAAAAUUGCUCAAAACUUGCAAGUCAAUAAUGUAUUGUUGGCAUAUAAACUGAAGAAAAGCAGUUGAGCUAACCGAAGCUGAAACUUUUGCAAAAUUCCCUCAACUAUUAAGAAAAACAAUAGUAACAACAAUCAAUUAAAGAAAUGUGUAAAUCUUCAUUGUUGAGCGAAAAACGGACAAUGUAGGACUGUGAACAAAAAGUAUGAAAUCAUAUAGAGUAACAUAAAACAAGCAGAAAAUUAUUUUCCAGCAAACCUGCAACUUAACCAACUAGACAAUAGUUUAUGUAAGAAAAGCACUUAAUUCAGCCAGGAGAACAUUCUAGAAGUAAAAACUAGAUUUCAAGCUAUCACUGCUAAACUCGAGCACAAUCUCAACGAACACAAAUUUCGGCAGAUUAAGCUUACCGUAUGCUCAACCAAAUCACAAUUCAAGCUGCUCAAUCUCUAGUCUAACUGAAUCCCCUCUAUUAAACUCAAUGACAACAACAACUAUUAGAAACCAAUGGUAACAAGGUUUAAGUUAGGAGAAAUUCAGCUAUCAAUUUACUCCAGAAACUUUUCCAUAAAUAGUGAAAAAGUUUCAACAAACAAGCUUCAGAACUUUGCAAUCAUAGCACAAAGAUAACUAGUGUACAAUGCAUGAUUUACUUUCAAACAUGGCCCCACCAAUGAUUCAUAGAUUGAAUUAAAAUCACAAAAUAAUGCUCCAACAAAUUAAGACUAAUCUCAUCAGAAAUUUCAUCAGCAUAAAAGAAGUUUGACAAGGGAAUUCCAACUUGAACUCUAAGAAUUUCCAUAGUAGAGUCCAUUGAUACAACUCAAUUCACACAAUUUUCAAACAAACAACUUCUGAAUUCUAAAACUAACCUAUGUGGCUAAAAGUGGCUAGAAGUGCAAAAUUUGGCUAUGACCCUGCAAAGCCAAGAACCUAAGAUUUACUAGGAAGACCGGAUUCGAUGUGGGUUGCCUACAUAUCACGCCCCGAAAGACGAGAAUCAGGUUUGCGUAGUUCGGGAAAAUUGGAUACGGGCAAGAAAUAAAAAAACAGCUAAUUUUUGAAGAAAACAUUUUCUUUUGUCUCUUUUUUUUUUAAAAAAUGAUAAAUAUGUAAACUCUUUUGGAUUUUUUUUCUUUUUAUUCGAUUUUCAGGAAAUGAUGAAAAAUAGUAAAAUACUUUUUUCAAUUUUUCACAUAUCUUUUAUCUCUUAUUUUAAUAAAAACAUAACAAACAUAACUUGACCCUACUUGCUUUAUUUUCACACUUCACCCUCUUUUCUUUUUAUUAUUUUUCUUUUUUUCUCAUUUUUUUUUACUCUCAGCUAUCAUUGGUCCGCCAAAUGACCCUUUCACUCUUGAAAAAAUGCAACAUGUUGUAUAUAAAAUGCAUCAGGAUGGUCUUUUUAAUUGGGUGCACAUGUCCUAGACAGGCCCUAUCAUGUGUUGAGUCCCCUAAGUUAAAUACAUUAUGCAAAUAAGUGACUCCCCAUGAUUCUGAUGCAGAGUAUGUUCCUAUCCACUAAGUAAGUAAAUAACUAUCAAGAACAGAAAUAAUCUUUUACUUUGGUUAAAGGCCCUUUUACUGAGAAAGGAGAAUAGGAAUGAAAUAAAAUAGAAAUAAAAAGAAAAGAAUCUAAUUGCAAAAGAAAAAAGGGGGGAUGUCUUUUUUUUUCUUACUUUUUUCUUUUUUUGUUUUUAUUCUUUCUUUCCUAUAAUUCCAAAAAGCAAAAGGAGGGGAUGUCUUCUUUUUUUCUUACUUUUUUCUUUUUUUGUUAUUAAUCUUUCUUUCCUAUAAUUCCAUUUUGAUUUCUAGUUCGAGAGAGAAAUUUUUUGUCAUGAUUCAUGAACUAAUGGACUUUCUAAUUUUUUUCUUAAUUAAAAAUUCGAGGUUAAAAUGUAUAUGUGAUAUUGCUAUAAAGUGCAUUUUAUUUUACUAGGGAUCAGGCAUGAGGUCAAGUUAUUCUAAGUUCAAAAACCUAAGUAUGUGUUCCAGACAGUGUACCCGAGCGGACAACUCGAGUCGAGGAGGGGGCUACGUACCGGAAACCAAAAGGUCAUCUGACUUAGCAACUUGUCCUGCCUCUUUCAUAUUUCAGGGUAUGACACUAACAGAAUAGGGAGUCUCAACUAAUAAGCACAUCCCCGGAGGUGAGGAGAGAAAGAUUUCGUAGCAGUUUAUAUGUACAGUUCAGAUAAUAUCAAAGCGGUAAAAGCAUCAUUUUGCACACUAAGCCAACAUGUAAAGAUUAGAUAAUAAACAAAGCCAAAUACAACAAUUAUUUUAAGCUCGAGUUCUUGAACCCUGAACCAGAUAUUCUUGGUUCGAUCCUCAGCAGAGUCGCCAGAGCUGUCACACCUCCUUUUGGCUACCACAACCCGGUGAAAGGAGUAGAUAAGAGAGUUCUUCCAAUUAAAGGACAAUCAAUACGUGAUUCAAUUAUAUAAGAGAAUUUCAGAGUCCCCACUUGGGAGAUUUAUCGUGUCCCAAGUCAUCGUUUAGAAUCCCGAAUCGAGAAAAGAAUGACUCUGUUUAACAGUCCGCGAAUAAGAAAUUCGGGCAAGGAAUUCUGUUAACCCGGAAGAAGGUGUUAGCAUUCCCGAGUUCCGUGGUUCUAGCACGGUCGAUCAACCGUUAUAUUUGGCUUAAAUUAUCUAAAAAAAUUUUACAAUUAUGAACCUACGUGCAUUUUUUAAUCUUUUAACCACCUUUAUUAUUUUUCUUAAAGAGAAUUGCAACGUCGUUAAAACAUAUAUUGAACCACGUCACAUAUAUGCACCCGUGGUUUUUGACACAUUUCAACUUUGCUGGGAUUUGAAUUUAAGUCACAUAAAUGUGCACCCGAAUUUAAAAAAUUUAAUUUAAGUACGCGUCUGAAGCAACUAGGUCUUUAUUUAUUUUCCAAAUCUUUAAGAUUGUUGUAAAGAUCUAAGAGUUAUUAAAACUAUUGUAGACAGAAAUAUGAUUCGAUCCUUUGGGAAGAAUUCAUCACAAGAAUGGAGAAGAAUAUGUUGGACUCAUAGGUGUUACUUAUCCUGGCUCAGAUCUUUAUAAAUUCAAACUAACCUCACAUGCCAAACCAUUUUUUACUAUGCUCACGCCUAUUUUUAUACUCUAUCAGUAGAUACAAUUCCAGUUCUCCUUAACUAAAUUCAAAUUGCUUUAAUUUUAGACCCCACAGAUUCUAGCUACACCCAAAACCAAUUGUUGUCCAACUUUUAAAAGAAUUAAAUUCACAACAAAGUAUUUAAAAUAUUCACAUUAAAGAUCCAAUAACAGACCAAAAUAAACACAUGGAAAAGGUCAGAUGGCAAACGAAAAUUUAAACAAGAGAACACUAAGGAAUUCAAAUAGCAAAGGUAAGAAUAAACCUUAAUAUUCAGUAAAUAAAAUUCUUCAGCAGAUGAAAACACGAAGCUUCCGACAUCAACAAAAUAUAUGAAUUCCAAAGAUUACAACUCCAAUAAAUAGCUCCAACAAGAUCUGCGACAUGAACACUCGAAAGACGACCUCUUCAGUAGAUGAAAACACGAAGCUUCCGACAUCAACAAAAUAUAUGAAUUCCAAAGGUUACAACUCCAAUAAAUAGCUCCAACAAGAUCUGCGACAUGAACACUCGAAAGACGACCUCGACUCUCUUUGUGGUGAUUUAAGAUCUGAUUGGAGUUGGUUCUUGGACUGGUUUACAGCUGAGCUUAAGCUCUGUUUCGCCUGUUUCCAUGGAGUUUCAAGGCUAUUUUAUGGCUUAUUUUGCUGGGUUUUAGGUUGGAAAAUAGAGCUGGUUUUGAAUGAUUUUGGUCGAAUUAGAGGGUUGUUUUUGGUUGCGUUUUGGGGGUGUUCCAGGAAUGAUUUUUGAGUUGAUUUUGCAGUCGCUUCAAGCUAUAUCAUUGGGAGAAGACAAGGUGGUUUAUGGGGUUAAGUUUGGAGUGUUUAAUGCAGCUUUUUAUUUGUGUUUCAAUGAGCUCCCAUGGUGAAAAGGCUGCGUUUUGGGGUUGUUACAGGAAUGAUUUUUGAGUUGUUUUUGCAGUAGCUUCAAGCUAUAUCUCUGGGAGAAGACAAGGUGGUUUAUGGGGUGAAGUUUGGAUUGUUUAAUGGAGCUUUUUAUUUGUGUUUCAAUGAGCUCCCAUGGUGAAAACGGGAAGAAGAAAAACUGUCGAGAUGGUGAAGAAAACCAAUAGCUGCGUAGCUUCUUCAAGCCUCCCUUUUGUGUGUAUAGGCGUGUGUUUAUCUCUUGUGUAUCUAUCCGUAUAUGUGUGUUAGGGUUUGUAGGUGGGGAAUGGGUUUGGGUAUUGGGUUGGGUCGGGUCGAUCCGGUUUGGGUUUGGGUAGGGGCUAAUUUGGGUAGGGUUUAAAAGAGAAAUUGUAUUGGACUUGAAUUUUAAUAGAA